AGCGAACGCUGGCGGCAGGCCUAACACAUGCAAGUCGAACUAAGUCUUCGGACUUAGUGGCGGACGGGUGAGUAACACGUGGGAACGUACCUUUUGGUUCGGAACAACUCAGGGAAACUUGCGCUAAUACCGGAUGAGCCCUUAGGGGGAAAGAUUUAUCGCCGAAAGAGGGGCCCGCGUUAGAUUAGCUAGUUGGUGAGGUAAAGGCUCACCAAGGCUACGAUCUAUAGCUGGUCUGAGAGGAUGAUCAGCCACGCUGGGACUGAGACACGGCCCCGACUCCUACGGUUGGCAGCAGUGGUGAAUCUUGCGCAAUAGGCGUAAGCCUGACGCAGCCAUGCCUCGUGAAUGAUGAAGGUCUUAGGAUUGUAAAAUUCUUUUACCAGGGACGAUAAAGACGGUAACUGGAGAAAAAGCCCCGGCUAACUUCGUGCCAGCAGCCGCCGUAAAAC
rnacentral:rRNA from 1 species